UACAGAGGGUGCGAGCGUUAAUCGGAAUUACUGGGCGUAAAGCGCGCGUAGGCGGCUUUGCAAGUCGGGUGUGAAAUCCCCCGGGCUUAACCUGGGAAUGGCGCUUGAAACUACGGAACUGGAGUAUGGCAGAGGGAGGUGGAAUUCCACGUGUAGCGGUGAAAUGCGUAGAGAUGUGGAGGAACACCGAUGGCGAAGGCAGCCUCCUGGGCCAAUAC
rnacentral:rRNA from 1 species